GGAAUUUAAUUGUUAAUAUUAUAGCAAAAAUGAAAUGUCAUUUUUUAAACUUUAAUUUUUAAACGAAGAUUAUCAACUAAAACUUAUUGCAGGUCACUCAGAAUUAUGAUCUUAACAACAUGUCAAAAUCAAGAUCAUCAGAGUUGGGAUCAUCAAGCUCCCUUUUUGUCGAUAUUUAUCAUAAAUCAAAUUAAGAUUAACACAUGAUUGGAUUCAUGAUGUGUCCGUGAGCGUUCUUUUUCUUUUGAAAUAUUACAUACGCCUGGCUAAAUAAUAAUCUGUAUGUUUCUUAUUAAUGAUCUAUAUUCAUCUCUGAGUGCGAGUGCGGUGUAGUAGACAGCGCACUGAUAUAUUAGAGAUCCCGGGUUCAAUCCCCGGCAGAACCGAAAAAUUUUCAUAUGCUUGUAACUCCUCUCGGAAGGCAAUGGCAAACCACCGAGUAGUACUUUUGCCCAGGAAAUCUUCCUAUCAAAAAUUGCCAUUCGGAAUCGACGUUUAAGCUGUAGGUCCCCAUACUCUGCGUUGAAACCACU